CUUAAAUAGAAAAGAUCAGCUUUUGAGGUGGAAAUCAGAAGAGACCCACCUCAACAAACAAGAAGGAAUAAAAGAAGCAUUUACUUAAUUAGCCUUUGCUUCCCUCUCUGUGUAUUGAAAAGGUAAUACCCAACUGGAUUUUCUUUGUCAUUUUUGUUUUAAAAGAUAAGGACAAAACAAAAAGAAGUAAAACAACUGUCACAAACCCAAAAAUAAAAUAUAAAGACAGGAUUUUACAAUUACAAGAAUAAGUUGUCUUCAUUGCGUUUCCUGUUUCUCUGGCGUCACCUUAAAAUGUUCACUUUCAAUGGAGGAGGGCCUCUUGGUGACAGCUUGCAAAUCAAAGUGCAUGUGUGAGAGAGCUCCAUAUUACAAAAAGGGUUGUUUUGUUCUGACUUUUGACUCUUCUCUUUGAGUAAUGUAAACAUAUAUAUUUAUUUAGCUUUGACCUUUACCUUGAAGA